UACAGAGGUCUCAAGCGUUGUUCGGAUUCAUUGGGCGUAAAGGGUGCGUAGGUGGCGUCGUAAGUCGGGUGUGAAAUUUCGGAGCUUAACUCCGAAACUGCAUUCGAUACUGCGGUGCUUGAGGACUGGAGAGGAGACUGGAAUUUACGGUGUAGCAGUGAAAUGCGUAGAGAUCGGAAGGAAGACCAGUGGCGAAGGCGGGUCUCUGGACAGUUCCUGACACUGAGGCACGAAGGCCAGGGGAGCAAACGGG
rnacentral:rRNA from 1 species